rnacentral:sRNA from 1 species
AGUCAUGGGAUCUAGAGAUGAAGAAACUGCAUUCUCAUGCUGAUUCGGUUCUUCUGGGGGUGUCUUCAGACUGGUUGGUGUCAGCUUUCUGCUGAAAUUCAGCAUCUGAAAAACAUCUUAAGCAAUUCUUAAACAAAAGCCUUAUGAUUCUGAUGUCAGAGAUCCUACCCACAGGAGUAAUGGGGAUGCAAGUCGUCAGUAUAUAGGGCUGUGGGAUGACUUUCUGUUACAAAGAAGUAGGCCAAAGUGCAGCGUGAUUAAUGCUUAAUUAUAUUUCUGUCUAGAACCUGGCAUGCAAUUCUUGUUAACCCUGUAAGGACAGUGUCACUUUUAGGGCUCUUUUAAUAUUUGUCUGUAAAAUGAGGGCUACAAAUACAAAAUAAUUCUUAAUCAAUUUAUAGAUUAUUUGCAAAGCUGUGUUUUAUUCUGAUCUUGCCAGUGUUGACCUAACCAAUGAAGAAACAACUGAUUCCACCACUUCUAAAAUCAGCCCAUCUGAAGAUACUCAGCAAGAAAAUGGCAGCAUGUUCUCUCUCAUUACCUGGAAUAUUGAUGGAUUAGAUCUAAACAAUCUGUCAGAGAGGGCUCGAGGGGUGUGUUCCUACUUAGCUUUGUACAGCCCAGAUGUGAUAUUUCUACAGGAAGUUAUUCCCCCAUAUUAUAGCUACCUAAAGAAGAGUUCAAGUAAUUAUGAGAUUAUUACAGGUCAUGAAGAAGGGUAUUUCACAGCUAUCAUGUUGAAGAAAUCAAGAGUGAAAUUAAAAAGCCAAGAGAUUAUUCCUUUUCCAAGUACCAAAAUGAUGAGAAACCUUUUAUGUGUGCAUGUGAGUAAUGUUUAAAAAUUGAGUGUUUUAUAAA